CUUUCUAUUAUUACAUGAAUAUGAAUACAAGGUCUCCGAUAUUACAAUGAAUAACAUCUGUACAGCGCCACUACGCCAUCCUCAGUUGCUCUAUGCAAGCAGCAGAACAACUCGAAGCAGCGGAAUAACUCUAGCGGCGGAACAACAAAGACAGUGGUGAACUCCACUCCGCAGGGACUCUGGCUGGAACGCUUAUCCUAGCUCGCAAACAAGGACUCCACGGCAAACAAGCAAUCAAAUCCGGAAUGACCUGCAAGCUGGCAUUACAUGCCAGGUUAGUACAUUGAAUGUACUUGCAAGCUCACAAUAAUCCAGAAGCAUUCAAGACAAACAACAUCAUAGCAAUUACAGGUUAAGCAGGGAUUAUCAUAAUAUCAUCAUAGCAACAUGGCAUGACCAACAUAAACAUGAUACAGCUAACUCAACCUGAACAUAUUGAUCCGACAAUACUAGCAUGCAACAUGCAACCACUAUAUGCACCACUUAUCCUGCUCGGGCUACCUCGUAACCCACACAUGCAUCACCUUACCAACCUCGGACAUCACACGAUCAUCCCAGGAUCAAAUCAAGCUUGGUAUAAACAAUAUCAUAGUAAUCAGUAAAUGACCACAAGGAGCUUGACCUUUACCCACGACUCUCGUACCACAUCAUGAAUAUACAACAACUCGGUAUCAUCUAUACCAUCGUGAUCCUUACAGCGAUCACAACCACGACCAACACUUAGUCUAAAACCGUAAUCCUUACGGCGAUCACAACCCGACCAGCACUUAGUCUCAAACCAUGAUCCUUACGGCGAUCACAACCCGACCAAUGCAUGGCCCGUGAUCCUUAUGGCGAUCACCACCCAACUUAUCUCACUGUUAUUAAGCACAUUAUUCUUAUUACUGUUGACUCAUGAUGUGACCUACUUUCGACCCGGGCCCUUAUCCACGGGCGCGGCUAUCGAUAGAUUUAAUAUACACUCUGUAGAGGUUAGUACACUAUACCCACACUACGGAACCCAUGGCCUCGCACUCCCAUUCGGGUGGACCAACAGCGUUCCGACAAAACCGUCCUACUGCCAUGACACUCCCCCGGCCACUCCGACUUACUCUCCUCUGGGCUAAAUCAUGGGUGGCCCCGUGUCUACCUCCAGACACCUCAACGACCACCGUUGUGGCCCGUCCCACUCUGGGACACAUGCACAUUACAACAACAACGGGCACACAAGGUUAUGCUUGCCUACCGGGCCAGGGUACAACACACCCAUAACCUUCCCUCAUUGGAGGCACCAGCGAGAGGCACGACAAUAGACCCAGUUAGGACCGUCCCAUAUCGGUAAGCAUGGUUGCACUGGUUAGCAUCGAUUCAGCGGCACCAUGACUCAGCCAACAGUUGGUCAAGUUCAAUUUAAUCCGGUUAACUUGAAUGCAAAUAAGCUGAGCCAUGAUAAAAUGCAUGAACAUGAUAUCAACAUCAUCAUGAGAGUAUCACAUAACUUUCCAGCAUAACAACAAUAAAUCAUCUCCACUGAUCAUCGCAUACUGACUAGCAUGACCAUCUCCAACAUCAAUAUGUACUACUAACAAGCAUAAACAUAUGAAAGAUAAUACUAGUAGGUAUAACAUGAUCACAGAGUAUAAGACAACAUAGCACAAAAGUGAACAUGCAAAUCUGAACAUCACCGGAACAACGAUAACCAUCUUUUCAACAAGCAAACAUUUAAUAAAGAUUCAAGUUGAAAACCAUGGCUACUGCAUGACUAUCAUGCAAGUGGGUAUUGUGGCUUGCCUGGGGAUGAAGAAGGCACCGGGGAGAAGUGCGGUGAAGCCGCGGAAAGAUUCGCCGAAAAACGUUCUCUCUCGGAGGGGGCUGAUUGAGGGCAGGGGCCAAAUGGUCAUUUUCAGUAUGCCAAAACAUAAUGAAAGUGCCACCAACAGAAAGGGCUCGACGAAAUGAAGAAGUGAGCGUUGGUUUCACCUCAUUUGGAGUUACGGAUAAAAAGUUAUGGAAGUUUUUCUGCCAGGGACCCAUCUGUAAUGAAAAUAAUCUCAACCAGGGGCCUGAACAGAAAAAUUGAAAACACAUUCGGGAAAAUACGCUUUCACCUUAUCCAAAGGAACAGUGGUGAGGCUGACGCGUGCGGGUCCCACGGGUGGGGCCCGUCACUUUUCCACGUGGGCUGGGCUGGUCAACGGCCAGAGGCCGACAGGUGGGGCCGAGAGGGGUGCGGGACCCACUAGCAGGGGCCAGGCUGGCAUCGUCAUCUUCUUCCUCGCCCUGGCCCGACCGAAGCAGAGGAGGGGCAGAGGCAGGGGAGGAGCGGUGAGGGGGCCGGCCAUCUCCGGCCAGGGCGAAGCCACCGGCGGGCGCGGCCCGGCGCUACGCUUCCAUCCCCGACCAGAGGGGGGCACGGGGAGGCUAGGAACGGCGAAGGGAGGCGGCGACAGGAGGUGACAGAGGCGGCUCGGCGGAGGUGGAUUCUGGCGAUGAGGGCAACUCCAGCGAGGCUGAGGGCGUGGGGAGGUUCGCCUGGACGUGGUGGAGGCGGUGGUGGAGUCCGGAGGGAGUGGGAAGGCUUGGACCGGCCGGACGGAGAGGAGGCCAAACGGUGGAGGCGGCGGCCGAGCUCCGGGAGGCAUGGCCAGAGGCACUCCAGCGAGGGCAAGAGGGUUGGGGCGGCUCGUGGAGGCAUGGGGAGGACGUUGGACAACACCAGAGCAGGAGAGGAGGCUCGAGCUCGCCGGAACCAAAGAGGAACCGCAGCGGCCGAGGCGAACUCCAGCAAAAAGAGGAGGAGGCCGAGGGAUCCGGUGGGCUAGGGAGGCAAGUGAGGAGCGGAUGAGCUGCGGGAGGGCUCGGGUUGGGCUUAUAUAGGCCAGGGGAAGGCUUUGGAGCUCACGGGCGAGCUCCCGACCGAGCUUUAAUGGCGGGCAGAGGCUGGACAUGGCACGAGCAUGGCGCUAGCGGCGCAUUCAUGGCGAACCACGACGAGACAUCGACACACGGAGAUGAAGGGCAUCAUGGGGCAGCUACUAGACAUGGAUGGAGGUCGAGACGACGAGGGAGACGACGGACACAGGGCCGGGAAGAAUCCAGAGCACGCCAUUUGCAUGACAUCAGCGUGAUCACGACGUGCACUGGAGCAAACUCCAGGCUUUGGCCGGGCCAACCAUGUCCAGUGGAUGGACCUUGGUGCCCUUAGUCCAACUAAAGAAAUAAAUUGGUCCAGGGGCAAAGAAGAGAUUUGCACUUAGCUCCAAAAGUAAAUCGGUAAGAAGGUGUUUGUAACUUGUUGUGGUUAAACCAGCUAGGCAAAUCAUUAACUAUCUUGUCUGGGAGGUUUAUCUAUCGAAGGACUUUCAUCCUGGAGGUUUUGAGGGUAAAUGGAUCAAGAUUUACUACAGUUGCUUCACAACUGCAUACUUGGUCCAGAAAUGAAGAUCAUCAAGAUGCACUCACAUGGAGUGUCAACUUGAGCUAAAAUUGGGCAAGGAUUAGUCAUUUGGACAUAUGAAGAUGAUGUAAAAAGCUCAUGCCAAAUGGACAAGCCAAAAUAGCACUUGCUUCACAAACAUCUUCUCUGGACAAAAACUUGAAAUACUUAUGGUGGUCAAAUGGAUCAAUGAAAUGAUGCCAAAAUUGGUGGAGAGAUGUUUUAUGGGUAGAAGAAUGAUCUGGUAAUUUAUCAGGAUUUUUGAACCAAUAUAAAAUAUACUUGCUUCACAACCUGAAAAUAUUGCCAGAAACAAAGAUUUGCUCCUGUGCUCACAUGGCUGAUAGGAUGGGGCUGCAAAUGGGUGUAAGGGUUUAAUAUGAGCACAUUAAGGAUUGUGCAAAAGUUCAAAUCAUUUGGGUACUCGUAGCUAGUACUUCCUUCACAAAGCCUUCUGUUUGGCAGAAACUUUGAAAAUUCACUGAGGAAGAUUGGCUAGGCAAAUAAAUUUGAACUUGGGCAUGAGGAAAUUAUUUGGACAUAUAAACAUGCCCAAAAAGGUUGGGAGUCAAUAGGAGAAAUAUAAAUGACACUUCCUUCACAAAGUGCCAUUUAGGGCAGAAUAGGAAAUGAAUUAUUGGGGAAUUAUUUUUGAACAUGGCAAUGAAAAGUUUUGCCAUAUUUGAUCAAGAUAUGACCCAAAAAAUUUAUGAGAAUUAUUUGGGAAUUUUAGGAGUGAUGGAAAUAUAGGUUGCUUCACAACCUAGGGCAAUUGGAGUUAUUCCUUUAAUAGAAAGGAAUAUUCCCAAUAAAAAGAAUAUUGGGAUUUGGGCUAGGAUGGAAAUGGAAAGGUCUAGGGUUGGAUUUGGAUAUGACAAGCCACUCUGGAAACAAAGAAGAGGUCAUCUUCUUCAGUUUCCAGACCACUAAGCCACGGAAAAAGAAAACUCAAGCAAAAACCUCGGAAAAACUAAAGAAAAAGAAAGGGCCAAAAAUCAGGCUGUCACAAACCUUACCCCCUUAAAGAAAUCUUGUCCUCGAUAUUUGGUUGCUCAGGGAACUAGUAUGAAUAUUCUGACUUAAGGAAACCGUUUCCAACUUAGGUAUCCUUUUUCCUUUAUUAUUGUUCCAACUAAAUUUUUAUCCGACUGGCCCUGGGGUGGUUUGCUUUACUGUAUCCACAAUCUGACAGAUCUUACCUGGCUUGUUCAUGCUUAUAUAGGCUCCAAUUUCUUUUUAGAUCUGCUGAUUAGCUGAGUGUGAUUUAAUUAUCACGACUGAAAGAUAAGUCAGUCUCACAAAUCCAAAAGUGAUUUCCGCUGGGUUUGCCACCCGGCACUGACAACCUUUCAUGUACUGAUGAUCAGAAUUUUCUGAGAAAAACUCAAGCUCAGACUCAUUUCAUUGGGUUUCUCCACUAAAUGCAAGUCCUUUGGAUUCCAAACAAGUGAGUUAAAACAUAACCGUUUUCUGACAGAUUCUGACUCAUCACGGAAAUUUCUGAAUCAUCUUAACUGGUUCCACAGUCGUGAGUAUCGGAUCCGUACCAAAUAUUUGAUUAUCGCCUGUCACGGCCAGCAUAAAGGGUUUGGCCUGUAUGACAAUAUCUGCAGACUUGACUGCCGGUGGUUCUGAAGGAAAUUUUUUGUUCACGACAGGCUAUCCACGAUGGUUCAUAUAAGUGAGGACUCAGGCUUCCAGACUGUUAUUCCUCAUUUUACUGAUAAGGUAACCCAUUAAAUGGCAGGUUCAACACCUCUCAAGUUCUGAUUGUUGGGAAAUGAUCAUCUGAAACCCUUGCAAGAAAUCGGCAAAUAAAUCAGUAGCCACCAGAACGGUCUUUACAACUCAGAUCUGGGACAUUACUGGAAUAACUCAACCACGGCUCAGGACGGCCGAAAAACAUUUCAGAGCAUGAUACUGGGUCAAUAAGAAUAAGGUGGCAGCUCCCUAAAAUAGCCAAAAAGCAGCUAUAGGGCUACUGUCACAAAAAGAAACUCAACAGUUGUAGGAGACGGCUGAAAAGUAGCUCAGACUCAUGACAGUCAUUGAAGAGAGAAACAAAAAUCGGCAUCCACCCCGGAUAUCUAGAAACAGCUUAGAUCACAGGCGUGGUGCCGUCAUAGGAGAAAAAGGAGACAAGGGCUCAUCAGGAUCAUUUUCCAGCCUCACGGGUACUUGUAUUGAGCUCAUUGAUGUCGUCAAUCCUCAUAAUCCUUUGUCACACUUCGGUGUAUACUGGCUUUCUUCUCUUAAUCAUCCUCACGUGGUUAUCAGAUCCUCAUCCGAGUGACUUGUAAGAUCUUGAUGGUAUGCUCAUUGCAUAUAUAUGAGGACCUGAUUCCAAGACAGACGUGUAUUCUGACUGAUUCUUGAUUCUGACCAAAAUGUUGCGGAUCUGAUUCUUGGGAUUCACUACCGCAUGCUGUCAAUUCACAGUGUGCUACCUUGUACCAAUGUCUUACUGAGGAAUAUUUGCUGGCUUGUGCUCGAAACUUUCAUCGGACAGCUUGCUGAAGAAGACUGGGUAUCGUGCUUCAGAAGCUUACCCCCUUAAAGACUUUGCUGGGGAAAGACUCGGUACCUUAUGCUGGAAUAUUUAUCUUCUUUAAUCAUUUUGUUGUGAUGGGUGCAUGCUAAUGCAAACUUGAUACUAACGUUCCAUCCAGGAUUUCUUUUGCAUUCAGACAAGAUAUUCCAAUUUUCAAUGCAGUCUGCUGAUAAUUCCAUUCUGUUUAGCUGAGUUUCCAAAUAUAUGCAUUUCUUGCUGACUCUUUGGGUUCGGUGUCGGCUUACGAGUAACUUUAAUAGGGGAACAAUUUGUAACACUGAAGGCCCAAAGAAAGGAACAACAGAAACGACUAAGACAAAAGCACAGAAGCAUUCUACUAAUAUAAUUAAUCAAGCAAUCGUCACAUAUUACUGCUACUCACACAAUAAUGUGCAUGCACACCUAAGCACACAAAUCUCGCGGAAACUCCGGUAUUGUGAUAUAAUAUGCUGUGACGAUGUGCACGAGGACGAAUAAAUGUGUGGACGGAUUGGUGUAAACAGCGCUACACCAAGUGCCAGCUUAGCUAGGUGGCAACCUGAACUAGCUCAGAGGUAAGGACGUACUCGGUAAUCAUGUAGUAGGACACGAAGGUCGCAACCACAUUAUUAUCAAGCGGACGGAAAAAGAUCCGUACUCGUACAAGAAAUAGGAUAGCAGGGAAAAACUAAGGUUGCUGACAUUGCACUUUCUUGAUAACUAAGAUCAUUAAGGGUUGCCAACACGACAAAAUAAAAGAACGAUCCGGGAUAGACACAUGUCCAUCACCAAAACAAUAGGCGGGACUGAAGGAAAGACAUCGGUGCGAUACCUGAGCACCAUUUUUGCAAACAGUGUCGGGAUCACUUGGCAUCACUCUGCUGGGACAGAAAUGACACCAAACACCAAAAGAAAAAGGGACUGAGGAAAUGCAAAGGUUGAGCUGUAGUGGAUCCGAACCGAUGCCAGCUACACUCACCAGAUAAACCGUUAGUACAAAUACUAAGGCUAUAUGCAUGCUAUGCGACAAAAAAUGCAACAAUCAAGUGCAAUAAACCAACUGGGGUCUAUACUACCGCUUUCUAACGUUCGCGCGGUCUAGGGCGUCCUACAGCCAGACCUGCUCUGAUACCAAGCCUGUGGCACCCUGGCUCAGAGAAACCAGAACGCCCUGUAUUCCAGCUCAGAGAUCGAGGAGAAGUCUUCUGGAAUACGGCACUCCUUAGCAUAGAACAAACCAGCUUUCUAUUAUUACACGAAUAUGAAUACAAGGUCUCUGAUAUUACAAUGAAUGACAUCUGUACGGCGACACUACGCCAUCCUCAGUUGCUCUAUGCAAGCAGCAGAACAACUUGAAGCAGCGGAAUAACUCUAGCAACGGAACAACGAAGACGGUGGUGAACUCCACUCCGCAGGGAUUCUGGAUGGAACGCUUAUCCUAGCUCGCAAACGAGGACUCCACGGCAAACAAGCAAUCAAAUCCGGAUUGACCUGCAAGCUGGCAUGACAUGCCAAGUUAGUACAUUGAAUGUACUUGCAAGGUCACAAUAAUCCAGAAGCAUUCAAGACAAACAACAUCAUAGCAAUUACAGGUUAAGCAGGGAUUAACAUAAUAUCAUCAUAGCAACAUGGCAUGACCAACAUAAACAUGAUACAGCUAACUCAACCUGAACAUAUUGAUCCGACAAUACUAGCAUGCAACAUGCAACCACUAUAUGCACCACUUAUCCUGCUCGGGCUACCUCGUAACCCAC
rnacentral:lncRNA from 1 species